ensembl:misc_RNA Metazoa_SRP Metazoan signal recognition particle RNA
GCCGGGUGUGGUGUCGAGUGCCUGUAAUCCCAGCUACUUGGGAGGCUGAGGCAGGAGAAUUGCUUGAACCCAGGAGGCGGAGGUUGCAGUGAGCCAAGAUCGCGCCAUUGCACUCCAGCCUGGGUGACAGAGCGAGACUCUGUCUCAA